CCAAUAGCGUAUAUUAAAGUUGUUGCAGUUAAAAAGCUCGUAGUUGAAUUUCGGGAUUAGUACGUCGGUCGUGCCUUCGGUACGUACUGGUGUUACUGAUUCCUACCUUCUGACGAACCAUCAUGUCAUUAAUUUGGUGUGGCGGGGAAUCAGGACUGUUACUUUGAAAAAAUUAGAGUGUUUAAAGCAGGCUCGCGCUUGAAUACAUUAGCAUGGAAUAAUGAAAUAGGACGUUGACCCUAUUUUGUUGGUUUCUAGGUUUGACGUAAUGAUUAAUAGGGAUAGUUGGGGGAAUUAGUAUUCAAUUGUCAGAGGUGAAAUUCUUGGAUUUAUUGAAGACUAACUACUGCGAAAGCAUUUGCCAAGGAUGUUUUCAUUAAUCAAGAACGAAAGUUAGGGGAUCGAAGACGAUCAGAUACCGUCGUAGUCUUAACCAUAAACUAUGCCGACUAGGGAUCGGAUGAUGUUAUUUUUAAUGACUCAUUCGGCGCCUUACG
rnacentral:misc_RNA from 1 species